rnacentral:rRNA from 1 species
CGGGGUGAGUAACGCGUGGGUAACCUGCCUCAUACAGGGGGAUAACAGUUAGAAAUGACUGCUAAUACCGCAUAAGCGCACGGGGAUGCAUAUCUUUGUGUGAAAAACUCCGGUGGUAUGAGAUGGACCCGCGUCUGAUUAGCUAGUUGGUGAGGUAACGGCUCACCAAGGCGACGAUCAGUAGCCGACCUGAGAGGGUGACCGGCCACAUUGGGACUGAGACACGGCCCAAACUCCUACGGAAGGCAGCAG